rnacentral:rRNA from 1 species
GGGGAAUAUUGGACAAUGGGCGAAAGCCUGAUCCAGCAACGCCGCGUGAGGGAUGAAUGCCUUCGGGUUGUAAACCUCUUUCAGCGGGGACGAAGCGCAAGUGACGGUACCCGCAGAAGAAGCACCGGCCAACUACGUGCCAGCAGCCGCGGUAAUACGUAGGGUGCGAGCGUUGUCCGGAAUUAUUGGGCGUAAAGGGCUCGUAGGCGGUCUGUCGCGUCGGGAGUGAAAACACGGGGCUUAACUCCGUGCCUGCUUCCGAUACGGGCAGACUAGAGGUAUGCAGGGGAGAACGGAAUUCCUGGUGUAGCGGUGAAAUGCGCAGAUAUCAGGAGGAACACCGGUGGCGAAGGCGGUUCUCUGGGCAUUACCUGACGCUGAGGAGCGAAAGUGUGGGGAGCGAAC